rnacentral:rRNA from 1 species
CCUACGGGAGGCAGCAGUGGGGAAUAUUGGACAAUGGGCGCAAGCCUGAUCCAGCCAUACCGCGUGAGUGAAGAAGGCCUUCGGGUUGUAAAGCUCUUUUUGAAGACUUGCGGUACCCAAAGAAUAAGCACCGGCUAACUUCGUGCCAGCAGCCGCGGUAAUACGAAGGGUGCAAGCGUUACUCGGAAUUACUGGGCGUAAAGCGUGCGUAGGUGGUUUGUUAAGUCUGAUGUGAAAGCCCUGGGCUCAACCUGGGAAUUGCAUUGGAUACUGGCAGGCUAGAGUGCGGUAGAGGGUAGUGGAAUUCCCGGUGUAGCAGUGAAAUGCGUAGAGAUCGGGAGGAACAUCUGUGGCGAAGGCGACUACCUGGACCAGACUGACACUGAGGCACGAAAGCGUGGGGAGCAAACAGGAUUAGAUACCCUUGUAGUC